AACAUCGCGCACCUGCGGGAACCUGCGGAAGGAUCAUUAUCGAGUUUACAACUCCCAAACCCCUGUGAACAUACCAAUCGUUGCCUCGGCGGGACCGCCCCCGGCGCCCCCGGGCCCGGACCCAGGCGCCCGCCGGAGGACCCCCAAACUCACUUGAUUCCACGGUGUAUCUUCUGAGUGACACAAGCAAAUAAAAUCAAAACUUUCAGCAACGGAUCU
rnacentral:misc_RNA from 1 species